UACGUAGGGUGCGAGCGUUAAUCGGAAUUACUGGGCGUAAAGCGUGCGCAGGCGGUUAUGUAAGACAGGGGUGAAAUCCCCGGGCUCAACCUGGGAAUUGCAUUCGAAACUGCGAGGCUAGGGUACGGAAGAGGGAAGCGGAAUUUCUGGUGUAGCGGUGAAAUGCGUAGAUAUCAGAAGGAACAUCAGUGGCGAAAGCGGCUUCCUGGUCCAGUACCGACGUUCAGGCACGAAAGCGUGGGGAGCAAACAGG
rnacentral:rRNA from 1 species